UACGUAGGGGGGCUAGCGUUGUCCGGAAUCAUUGGGCGUAAAGCGCGUGUAGGCGGUCCGGUAAGUCCGCUGUGAAAGUCGGGGGCUCAACCCUCGGAUGCCGGUGGAUACUGUCGGGCUCGAGUACGGAAGAGGCGAGUGGAAUUCCUGGUGUAGCGGUGAAAUGCGCAGAUAUCAGGAGGAACACCAAUUGCGAAGGCAGCUCGCUGGGACGUUACUGACGCUGAGACGCGAAAGCGUGGGGAGCAAACAGG
rnacentral:rRNA from 1 species